GAUGAACGCUGGCGGCGUGCCUAAUACAUGCAAGUCGAGCGAACGGACGAGAAGCUUGCUUCUCUGAUGUUAGCGGCGGACGGGUGAGUAACACGUGGAUAACCUACCUAUCAGACUGGGAUAACUUCGGGACACCGGAGCUAAUACCGGAUGAUAUUUUGCACCGCAUGGUUCAAAAGUGAAAGACGGUCUUGCUGUCACUUAUAGCUGGAUCCGCGCUGCAUUAGCUAGUUGGUAAGGUAACGGCGUACCAAGGCAACGAUGCAUAGCCGACCUGAGAGGGUGAUCGGCCACACUGGAGCUGAGACACGGUCCAUGCUCCUACGGGAGGCAGCAGUAGGGUAUCUUCCGCAAUGGGCGAGAGCCUGACGGAGCAACGCCGCGUGAGUGAUGAAGGUCUUCGGAUCGUAAAACUCUGUUAUUAGUGAAGAACAUAUGUGGAAGUAACUGUGCACAUCUUGACGGUACCUAAUCAGAAAGCCACGGCUAACUACGUG
rnacentral:rRNA from 1 species